rnacentral:rRNA from 1 species
CAAUAGCGUAUAUUAAAGUUGUUGCGGUUAAAAAGCUCGUAGUUGGAGUUCUGCCAGGUGCCGCCUGUCCGCCCCAGUGGUGAGUACGUGGCGCGCAUUUGGCCCUUUCAAGGGGAGCGUAUCUGCACUUUAUUGUGUGGUGCGGGAUCCUUGACUUUUACUUUGAGGAAAUAGGAGUGUUCCAAGCAGGCUCUCGUCGUGCACAGCUCAGCAUGGAAUAAUAGCAUUGGACCUCGAUUCUAAGCUGUUGGUUGCCAGAAGCGAGGUAAUGAUGAAGAGGGAUAGUUGGGGGCAUUCGUAUUUAACUGUCAGAGGUGAAAUUCUUGGAUUUGUGAAAGACGGACUACUGCGAAAGCAUCUGCCAUGGAUGUUUUCAUUGA